rnacentral:rRNA from 1 species
CCUACGGGAGGCAGCAGUGGGGAAUCUUGCGCAAUGGGCGAAAGCCUGACGCAGCCAUGCCGCGUGAAUGAUGAAGGUCUUAGGAUUGUAAAAUUCUUUCAGUAGGGACGAUAAUGACGGUACCUACAGAAGAAGCCCCGGCUAACUUCGUGCCAGCAGCCGCGGUAAUACGAAGGGGGCUAGCGUUGCUCGGAAUUACUGGGCGUAAAGGGAGCGUAGGCGGGUUAUCAAGUUGGAGGUGAAAGCCCAGGGCUCAACCUUGGAAUUGCCUUCAAAACUGAUAGCCUAGAGUAUGAUAGAGGUAUGUGGAACUCCGAGUGUAGAGGUGAAAUUCGUAGAUAUUCGGAAGAACACCAGUGGCGAAGGCGACAUACUGGGUCAUGGCUGACACUGAGGCUCGAAAGCGUGGGGAGCAAACAGGAUUAGAUACCCUGGUAGUCCACGCUGUAAACGAUGAUUGCUAGUUGUCGGACGGCAUGCCGUUCGGUGACGCAGCUACGACAUAGACAUCCGCCGCGGGAGGUACGGUCGCGAAGAAUUAAAACGUUAAAAGGUAAAGUUAGACGGCGUGAGACGUGCCGAACGGACGACGACGAGGGAGGUAGG